rnacentral:rRNA from 1 species
UACGUAGGGUGCAAGCGUUGUCCGGAAUUAUUGGGCGUAAGAGCUCGUAGGCGGUUUGUCGCGUCUGCUGUGAAAACUCGGGGCUUAACCCCGGGCCUGCAGUGGGUACGGGCAGACUAGAGUGCGGUAGGGGAGACUGGAAUUCCUGGUGUAGCGGUGAAAUGCGCAGAUAUCAGGAGGAACACCGGUGGCGAAGGCGGGUCUCUGGGCCGAUACUGACGCUGAGGAGCGAAAGCGUGGGGAGCGAAUGGG